AAUUUUCCCAACAUGGACUUUUAUUAUUUUUGUCUCUAGUAUUUAUUUAUGCCUUAUUUCAUAUCAUUAGAACAAUUUUCCAUUGACUUAUGAGGUCUUGAACCUAGUGGCUAAUGAAGUCUAUGUUUGUCAUGAUGUUGGAUUGUUUAGGGUUGCUUGAAUUUUUCUUGUUUCAAACCUACUAAUGAAUAAUCAAGUGUUCAUUCAUGAUACUUUGAAGCAUGGAUAAAUUGCCACUACAUC
rnacentral:lncRNA from 1 species